GGGUCAGUAGGUUAGUCCUGCCACCGGUACGUACUGGUCUCACUGAUUCCUCCUUCCUGAAGAACCGUAAUGCCAUUAAUUUGGUGUUGCGGGGAAACAGGACUGUUACUUUGAAAAAAUUAGAGUGUUUAAAGCAAGCUAACGCUUGAAUACAUUAGCAUGGAAUAAUGAAAUAGGACGAUCGAUCCUAUUUUGUUGGUUUCUAGGAUUGACGUA
rnacentral:rRNA from 1 species